UACGUAGGGUGCAAGCGUUGUCCGGAAUUAUUGGGCGUAAAGAGCUCGUAGGCGGUCUGUCACGUCGGCUGUGAAAUCCCGAGGCUCAACCUCGGGUCUGCAGUCGAUACGGGCAAACUAGAGUAUUGCAGGGGAGACUGGAAUUCCUGGUGUAGCGGUGAAAUGCGCAGAUAUCAGGAGGAACACCGGUGGCGAAGGCGGGUCUCUGGGCAAUAACUGACGCUGAGGAGCGAAAGCGUGGGAGCGAACAGG
rnacentral:rRNA from 1 species